GCCAAUGGCCUUGGAGGGGGUCUGGCAUGAGAGUCAUGCUGACAGGCUGACCCCAUCAGACUCCGCUGUGAGACACGGGGAGGGACACUACAGUAGGGUGAGACCGAAGCAAAGAGCCACAGAGACAAGGCCGCAGACGCUCAAGGCAGGGGAGUAACAGGAGUGGAGACAGGGAAGAGCUGCGUCACCGUCACGAUGGAGAAACCUCGAUUAUCGGGUCUGAUAAUCCCAGAGAAGGACUCGGGAAACGCCGGGGAGAAGGUCAGGGAGAGGCCUUGUUGCUCAGCCAAGUCUGCAAACAAAAUCCCAUGUUUGCUGUUCCAGGGUGUCCUUGGAGCGGCUCCUCUGAGGCAGGCUGGGGGGUGAGGCGCGGGGUGCCAGCAGUGGAUGGUGUGGGGCAAGGAGCGUCACCCCUGCCCCCAUCCCCACUCGGUUGUUACCUGAUCUGUCACAGGGCCCGGGCCCUCCCCUCUGCCUGCCGGUUACCUUCCUGCGUCAUUUCCCAAGGACAUCUGUGGAAAUCUGCCCGUCCACCCCGACGGAAGCCCAAUUUUUCUAGAAUUGCUAGCACAACUCUGAAAACAUUUUAUUUUGGCUCUGCUUAACACUGAGAUUGUUGGGGCUCUUAUCUUUUUCUUAAAUGGAAAACAUUCUGAACAGAUGGCAUGAUAAUAAAAGCUCAUUUGUUCUGUGAAUAUUUAUGAAGUUCCACUAAGUGUCAGGCGCUGGACCAGAAGUGGAGGAAACAGCAGGGACGAGACAGGAACGCCUGCGCUCCCUGAGCCUCUGUCAACGGGAGAGGCAGUAGUGAACAGGUAAUGAUAAACAGGGGGAUAUUAUGAAAGGAGAAGUACAAGAGUCUACCGGAGCUUAUCACAGUGGAGACUGGACUAGGCUGGAGUCUGAAGAAACUUUAUGGAAGAAUGAGCAGGUAUUUUAGCCUACUAAAGAGGGUGUAGAAAGAGGGUGUGGAAACACAGAGGAACGUAUUUGUAGGUCAGGAAAGACAGAAAGAGAGAGAGAGGAGAUAGGUGUAAAGAAAUAUAGAAGUCCAAUGGCACCCCACUCCAGUACUCUUGCCUGGAGAAUACCAUGGAC
ensembl:lncRNA